AUUGAACGCUGGCGGCAUGCUUUACACAUGCAAGUUGAACGGUAGCGCGGGCUUCGGCCUGGCGGCGAGUGGCGAACGGGUGAGUAAUGCAUCGGAACGUGCCCAGUAGUGGGGGAUAGCCCGGCGAAAGCCGGAUUAAUACCGCAUACGACCUGAGGGUGAAAGCGGGGGACCGAAAGGCCUCGCGCUAUUGGAGCGGCCGAUGUCGGAUUAGCUAGUUGGUGGGGUAAAGGCUUACCAAGGCGACGAUCCGUAGCUGGUCUGAGAGGACGACCAGCCACACUGGGACUGAGACACGGCCCAGACUCCUACGGGAGGCAGCAGUGGGGAAUUUUGGACAAUGGGGGCAACCCUGAUCCAGCCAUGCCGCGUGCGGGAAGAAGGCCUUCGGGUUGUAAACCGCUUUUGUUCGGGAAGAAAUCCUCUGGGCCAAUACCCCGGGGGGAUGACGGUACCGGAAGAAUAAGCACCGGCUAACUACGUGCCAGCCGCCGCCGUAA
rnacentral:rRNA from 1 species